rfam:Dictyostelium purpureum unplaced genomic scaffold DICPTscaffold_359, whole genome shotgun sequence.
UAAAAGGUGUUUUUUAACACCAUCCAAAAACAAAAAAUAUUUAAU